rnacentral:rRNA from 1 species
GACGAACGCUGGCGGCGUGCUUAACACAUGCAAGUCGAACGGAAAGGCCCUGCUUUUGUGGGGUGCUCGAGUGGCGAACGGGUGAGUAACACGUGAGUAACCUGCCCUUGACUUUGGGAUAACUUCAGGAAACUGGGGCUAAUACCGGAUAGGAGCUCCUGCUGCAUGGUGGGGGUUGGAAAGUUUCGGCGGUUGGGGAUGGACUCGCGGCUUAUCAGCUUGUUGGUGGGGUAGUGGCUUACCAAGGCUUUGACGGGUAGCCGGCCUGGGAGGGUGACCGGCCACAUUGGGACUGAGGUACGGCGCAGACUCCUACGGGAGGCAGCAGUGGGGAAUAUUGCACAAUGGGCGGAAGCCUGAUGCAGCAACGCCGCGUGCGGGAUGACGGCCUUCGGGUUGUAAACCGCUUUCGCCUGUGACGAAGCGUGAGUGACGGUAAUGGGUAAAGAAGCACCGGCUAACUACGUG